rnacentral:rRNA from 1 species
AUUGAACGCUGGCGGCAGGCCUAACACAUGCAAGUCGAACGGUAACAGGAAGAAGCUUGCUUCUUUGCUGACGAGUGGCGGACGGGUGAGUAAUGUCCGGGAAACUGCCUGAUGGAGGGGGAUAACUACUGGAAACGGUAGCUAAUACCGCAUAACGUCGCAAGACCAAAAAGGGGGACCUUCGGGCCUCUUGCCAUCGGAUGUGCCCAGAUGGGAUUAGCUAGUAGGUGGGGUAACGGCUCACCUAGGCGACGAUCCCUAGCUGGUCUGAGAGGAUGACCAGCCACACUGGAACUGAGACACGGCCCAGACUCCUACGGGAGGCAGCAGUGGGGAAUAUUGCACAAUGGGCGCAAGCCUGAUGCAGCCAUGCCGCGUGUAUGAAGAAGGCCUUCGGGUUGUAAAGUACUUUCAGCGGGGAGGAAGGGAGUAAAGUUAAUACCUUUGCUCAUUGACGUUACCCGCAGAAGAAGCACCGGCUAACUCCGUG